GAUGAAGAACGUAGCGAAAUGCGAUAAGUAAUGUGAAUUGCAGAAUUCAGUGAAUCAUCGAGUCUUUGAACGCACAUUGCGCCCCCUGGUAUUCCGGGGGGCAUGCCUGUCCGAGCGUCAUUGCUGCCCUCAAGCACGGCUUGUGUGUUGGGCCCCCGUCCCCCCCUCCCGGGGGACGGGCCCGAAAGGCAGCGGCGGCACCGCGUCCGGUCCUCGAGCGUAUGGGGCUUCGUCACCCGCUCUUGUAGGCCCGGCCGGCGCUUGCCGACACAUCAAUCUUUUUUCCAGGUUGACCUCGGAUCAGGUAGGGAUACCCGCUGAACUUAAGCAUAUCAAUAAGCGGAGAA
rnacentral:misc_RNA from 1 species